rnacentral:lncRNA from 1 species
GUCAGAGGCGCGAACCACACCUCAAGCCAUGCAACUCCGUGUUGCUUAUUUGCUUUGUUCCUUGGCAGGCUAAACAGAGAGUGGGAGUAAAAGCAACACCCGCUCCUGAGGAACCAACUAUCAGAGUCUUCAUCUUUCCCAAGGAAAAGCAGCUUUGAAGAGGGAGCACCAUUUUGCCUGUUUCUCAUGUGUGAGCAGAGGGACUCAGACGGCACUGGUUCCAAUGCAGAUUUGAUGUUAAGCACAGCGCCCUCCACAACCAUCCAUGAAGUGGAGCAGAAGAACUUCCGCCUUUCAGAGCAAGCCUCCUGGGAUUCAUGGAUUUUGUAAUUCCUUGCCUCUAUUUGUGUUAUAAUACAUUGAAACCAAAGCUAGCAUUUCAAAAAUCAGGACCAAGUAUUUUAGUUACUUGGGACGAAGAACAUAAAGUUCCAGUGAAUGAAAUUAACAUAAGGACAGAG